UCGGGAAUUUUGGGCAAUGGGCGAAAGCCUGACCCAGCAACGCCGCGUGAAGGAUGAAGUAUUUCGGUAUGUAAACUUCGUAAGAAUAGGAAGAAUAAAUGACGGUACUAUUUGUAAGGUCCGGCUAACUACGUGCCAGCAGCCGCGGUAAUACGUAGGGACCAAGCGUUGUUCGGAUUUACUGGGCGUAAAGGGCGCGUAGGCGGUGUGUCAAGUCAGUUGUGAAAUCUCCGAGCUUAACUCGGAACGGUCAACUGAUACUGUCACACUAGAGUACAGAAGGGGCAAUCGGAAUUCUUGGUGUAGCGGUGAAAUGCGUAGAUAUCAAGAGGAACACCUGAGGCGAAGGCGGGUUGCUGGGCUGAUACUGACGCUGAAGCGCGAAAGCUAGGGUAGCAAACGGGAUUAGAUACCCCCGUAGUCCCUGAGCGGGCUGGCAAGGCGCAU
rnacentral:rRNA from 1 species